UUCGAUUCAUGAACUGCUAACAAACUCUCUAAAUUGUUUAUAAGAAACUAUCAACACCUUGUAUUACUAUUUUAUCUUUUGAAUCCUGAUUUAGUAUUUUAAUAUAACUAUGUAAAUUGUUUUUAUUGACAAUUUUACGACCGAUAAUCUAUUUCACGUUUCCAUCUAGGCACCAAACUCUCUGGACCUCUACAAGGAACUUCCACCUACUAUUAUUCUAUGUAGUCAACAUGUACAAUACAAUAAGCAAAACUUUUACUUUCCUGAGUAUUCACGUUGUGACUGAACAACUUGAUGGCUCUUAGUCAAAGAAAAAAAAAACAAAAACAACUUGAUGGCUGAAGCGGUCAGAUUAUGUAGCCAGAAGAAGAACCCAUAAGUGGAGAAAAACCAACACAACCAAAUCAAUUAUAGUUUUUAAAAACUAGAAUGAUUAGUUAUGGAGUAUUUAUUUGAAUAAUGAAGACCAUAUCAAUUCUACCAACCUGUGCAUUAUUAUGUCACAGAAAAAAAAAAGACAUUUAACUUAGAGCAGAAGUAUCUCCAUG
rnacentral:lncRNA from 1 species